rnacentral:misc_RNA from 1 species
GGUGGAAGUGUGCUGGGGUCCUAUGUUGGCGGCAUUCAGUGUGACUCUUGAUCAAAGCGAUGAUAAGCUUGCUACUUCUCAAUGCUUACUAGGCUUUCGGCAUGCAGUGCAUGUCACAGCUGUCAUGGGCUUGCAGACUCAACGGGACGCUUUCGUGACAUCCAUGGCUAAGUUUACCUAUCUUCAUUGUGCUGCAGAUAUGAAACAAAAAAACGUUGAAG